CAGCUGUUUUCUACAAGCUUCUGCUUUUGCACCUGCUCCCAGUGCUGCCGGUCCUGUGGAAAGUCCAGCCGCUGCCCAGUUUCGAUGGGAAGAAUGGGAGGAAGGAAGGAAGUGCUUCUUCAGGCCCAUCUGACAGGUGUGGGGACCCAGUGAGCACCGGCUGGCUUCCCCUCCCUCCCCUUUUAUUGAUAGGAACUCUCCAGUCCUGCCGUGAAGAGGUAAAACUAGCAUCACAGUGUCAUUUUGAGGUUAUUUAUACACCCACAGUGCUCGUGGCUAGGGUGUGGCCCUGAGUAUGAAGUUCAUCAAUUGAACUCUGAUGAGGCUGCCUGACCACUUCCCCCAAAUUAGUUAUUUUCACCGCAGAGAAGCGCAGGUGCAUGACUUCCUGUGCCGAGAUGACUGGCCUAGUGGUGAUGACUCAGUGGCAUGUGUGGUGGUGAUCUGACACAGCCAGUGCCGGCUGGGGCCCUGGGGAAGGUCUCUAACCACAAGCAGGCUGGGCUGGGGCUGCGUGUCCCCGGAGCUCCCAGCCCACCAGUCUCAGGCACCCCUCACAGAGCUGGGACUCCUGGACCCCAAUGGAGCAACAGCCACUUACAGUUGGACUCAGCACAACGUCUCAAUCCUUUGGACUUAGGCCAGGCAUGGCUGCCCUUCUGUUCUGUUUCCUGCUGAUCUUCAUGCAACAGCUGCUUUACUCUCAGCCGUCUUCAAAAACCCCAGCCCCACCAAGGUAGGUAUGCCAUGAAAAGGAACGUGGCCUGGCCCAAAGUUGAGACUAUCUCAAGCCACAAGGUCCCACACUGUUGGGUAGACACAGAUCAUUGUUUUGUUGACCAAGAGAACUGAAAACUGUAAGCCCCCUGCAGGGCCUGCAGGAGUCUGCUGAGGCACACGGAGUGCUGCAGGGCACAGAGAGGGAAACACAGGUGCAGGAAAGAUCCCUGGACUGGGAAGCCGGCAAGGCCUGAGUCUAAGUCCUGACGCAGCCCUUGAGGAGCUGUGCAACCUUAGGGCAAGUGGACAACUUCUCUGAGCUUCAGUUCUCUAGUCACAUAAAAGGGAGGCGAGAAGCCCUAACAUCACACCCUAUUUAGAAUUCACUUCUGCAGGACGUUCCCAUUGUGGUUCAGCGGUAACAAAACCAACUAGUAUCUAUGAGGAUGUAGGUUCGAUCCCUAGCCUCCCUCAGUGGGUUAAGGAUCUGCGUUGCCAUGAGCUGUGGUGUAGGUCACACAUGCAGCUCAGAUCCUGUGUUGCUCUAGCUGUGGUGCAGGCUGGUGGCUGCAGCUCCAAUUCAACCCCUGGCCUGGGAACUUCCAUAUGCUGUGGGUGCGGCCCUAAAAAGCAAAAAGAAAAAAAGAGUUCACUCCUCUAAAGAGACAAGCCCCAAGCAACUGACACACAUUUUGCAAAGGAUAUAGAGAAAGUGCAACUAUCAAUCAAACGAGGCUCUUGUUCCCCCAAAUCGAUCCAGAGAGCUCAGUAAGAGAGGAAUUGUCUGGGGCUGCAGAAAUUCUGAUUCACAUCUGAGACAGGGUCCUGAGCCUGCAUUUUUUUUUUUAUUAAAGUUCUUCCAGAUGAUUCUGUUGCCUGGAUUAAUUUAAGCAUCAUUUCCUCCUGAUGACGCAGCAAAAUGGAGAGCCUCGUGCUCCAGAGCACAAAGUCUGCAGAAAAUGUUGGAGUGUAUUAACAUCAACCUCAGUAUUUGCUUUUUCGUGAUACUUCAUCACCUUCUCUUACCCCUUUUAAUAUGGUCACAUCAUUCACGUGGGUUUAAGGCCCAGUUUCUGGGCAGGACAGCCACGAGGCCUCACCCUGUCAUCACAGAGUUCGUGAAGUCAUCUGGUUGUGGCUGGGACGCAGCCUCCAGCGGUCCCUAAGCAAAGAAUAAACAUAUGCUUUUAUUUUCUUAAUGCUGUUGG
ensembl:lncRNA